CAGGACUAUGGACUGUGUGUUGAAACUUCUAAUGUUUGAAGAUCUGCUUCUUUGCCCUUUGAACUCUGAGCAAGGAACCUUUCCAGACAGUGUGAACUCAUUGGCUUCCCCAUAACUCUACAGAGCUUCCGCUGCCAUAUAACUGGGAAUCAGAGAGGUCAGGAUCCCUGAGGAAGCAGAUCCUGAGAUGAAAAUUUCCAAGCAGGAAGAUUACUUGUCUUCUUGGGAUCAACAACCUGGAAGGAAAUAGGACUGGGCAGAGAGAGAAGUUAAAUUGUAAGGUAAUCCAAACAAAACCCUCUGCAGAUCCUACAGGAGUCUUUGCUGACUCUUCAGAGUUGUCCUGAAUUGGGAUGAAAGACAGAAACCUUUAUACUUCUUCAUCAACCAAUCACUGGAUGCAGGGUGCCCACAGGACGAGGAUGGGACAUGAGGCAAAGUAACUCUCUUCAGAUGAGGCAAGUCUCAGAAAGUGACUCAGCUGAAAAUGGCUGCCAACAGUUCUAGCAGCUGGGGGGAAUGAGUGCUUCAGUCCUGAAGAGAAUCUGGGUGACACAGCAUGGCAUGUACUAAAGUUAACUACAUCUCAAUCUCAGCCAUUAUUCUACCUAUUGGCUUGCUGAAGAGGUACUAGGUUGGCUCACAGAAGCAAAUGGACCAGUUAUGACAUCAAGUAAGAAAAGGCUUUCUCCUCCCUACACUCCCCCUUUGUCAACAAAUGGAGCUAACUGGACAUUCCCCAAUUCACUAAUUAGCUGUGAGACAAGGUGUUAGUCUCACCUCUUAUCUGCACCUUCAUUUGGUCAGUUGUAAAAUGAGAAAUUUGCAUCUGAUGAGCUCUAAAGGUGCAUCCAACCCUACUAUUCUAUGAUAAUAAUCAUAUUAUGUCAGAUUAAGUGUAAUGCAGAUGCACAAAUACUGUUCAUGGAGUUUAGAAUCUUAUACU